GCGCGCCUGCCGCAUUUGUCCGUUGUCACCGAUCGUGGCGGAAUCGAUUUCGCAAAAACUUUUUAUAUCUCUGCGACGUUUGGGAUAGCGGAGCAGUUUCGAGUGUUUUCUUCCUUUUCUCGGAACGUCCAGCGAUGCUGGUGGAACAUUUCGCUGCGGACGGCGCUCGGUUCGUUUGAGGUUCGGUGUUUGGAUUAGCUACCAAGAACCGGUGUUUUGGCGGAUACUUCAUUUGUUUAUCGGGGCUAGAGCAUUCGCGGUAAAGUUUUUUUUUUCCAAGAGGAAAAUAGUUCGAAAACCAGCAAUUGUGGUGUCUGCUGCCGCUGCCGAUAGUUGAUGGGUCAAAUUGUAAAUCUGAACCAGCCCAAAAUAGACGCGACAUUACGAUUGAUCACGGACAUCGUAACGGGUGAGGUGCUGCCGAGACGCGAGGGUGGCGUGGAAAAUCGCCAACUGGUGUUUUAGCAAUCAAUUGUAAUUUGCUAUUGUGAGAAGAAAGUGAUUUUCGGUGACAAAAGGCAGGCUCGCUUGACAGCUGGCAGUUAAUCGAAUAGUCGCUGGUGCUGGUUCCGCAGCAUCGCCAAAAGUGCAGUUGGACAAUUGUGCAACCGUCGGCGGCGAAGGAAAGAAAAAGUGAUUUAGUUGAAUCGGUUGGAAAGUUAACACUAGAAAUUUGAUGGCAAUGGAUCCCAAAGCGCAAGAACUCAGCAAAGACCAGUUGAAAGUACUAAAAGACGCCUUCGAUGCAUUCGACAAGGACAAAACGGGCAGCAUUCCAACGGACGUAGUCGGCACCAUCCUGGAACUGUUGGGGCAUACGCUGACGGAGGAAGAGCUGGAGGAUGUGAUCGACGAGUACGACGAGGAUGAGUCCGGCCAACUGGAAUUUAACGAGUUUGUACAGCUAGCGUCGAACUACGUGGAACCUGAGGAAGACUACGAUGCACUGCGGAAGGAGCUUAGGGAGGUCUUCAUGAUGUACGAUAAGGAAGCUAAGGGUUUUAUUCCAGUAGAUGCAUUCAAACAAAUCCUUAGAGAGUUAGACGGAGCGGUACCAGAGGAAGAACUAGAUGAUAUUGUAGAUGAGAUUGAUGCGGACGGAUCGGGAACGGUAGACUUCGAAGAAUUCAUGGAAGUCAUGACAGGAGAUGACUCUUAGGUUUUCUGCUUGCUAUUAAUCCGGACAAAAUCUACGCCAGUACUGCUUAUUUUGAGUCUAUCGCUUUCAGGUGUGCGUGCAGGAUCUAUCACUUUGCUUCAAGAUCGAGACCCGAAUAAGGAUUAGAUGUCUCUUCAGCGUGAACCGACGGGAGGGGAGCGUGGUUGCAUAAUAUUCAUUUCUGAAAUCAAACAAUUUUAGGCAUCAAACCCAACUUUCUAGGUGACUGAAAGCUAUUCUCGUGAGAAACAAACCACUAGCACUCUAAGCACACACACACCCAGAUUUUGGGGAAAAACCGCGAGACAGCCAGCAAGAAAGAGACAGGGAUAAUGUAUAGAAGUAAUAGGUUUUAACGUUCGAACAUUUAAAAAUCUUCCUAGUUUACCAAUACCUAAUUCUAAUCCGUUAAAUAACAGUAAAGAAGGGCACCAAAAAAGAUUGGUUCAAAUUACACUUUGCGAUCAAAUCUAAAAUCACAACGGAAGAGUUCUAUUUUUUUUUCGAAUCAUCAUCGCAUAAGUGAGAUUUGAAAAGUCUACAACAAUUAGUGAUUGAUGUCUGCUUCUUGUUAUUAAGUUUAACCCAUAGCUUAUAUUUUUGCUUUUACAAGAACGAUCAUUGUUAGUUUUUGGAUAAAUGAGAGAUUUGAAAGAACUUCUUUCUCACCCUUUGUUGUAGUUUUCUAUGCUAAUAGGAUUAUGUAUAGAUUUUUUUCUCUUAAUUUUCUAAAGUUGAAAAUAUUCAAGAACACAAAUUUGGUUGAUCUUCAGUCAGCAGCAGGACAAAUCAAGUUACGAUCAAGCUAACAGAAAAGAGACAACAUGAGAAUAAAGAGAAUCAACCGUUAGAAUUAUUGUUGUUAAUUCACAAUGAAAGGGAAAUUAUUAAGUGAAUAAAAGGUUACACAAGCGUUUUCA